AUACGGAGGGUGCAAGCGUUAUCCGGAUUUAUUGGGUUUAAAGGGUGCGUAGGCGGUUUGAUAAGUCAGCGGUAAAAUAUUUCAGCUUAACUGGAAGGGUGCCGUUGAUACUGUCGAGCUUGAAUUUAGUUGCUGUGGGUGGAAUGUGUGGUGUAGCGGUGAAAUGCAUAGAUAUCACACAGAAUAUCGAUUGCGAAGGCAGCUCACAAAGCUAAUAUUGACGCUGAUGCACGAAAGUGUAGGGAUCAAACAGGAUUAGAUACCCUGGUAGUCCACACUGUAAACGAUGAUAACUCGCUGUCGGCGAUACAUAGUCGGUGGCCAAGCGAAAGCGAUAAGUUAUCCACCUGGGGAGUACGACCGCAAGGUUGAAACUCAAAGGAAUUGACGGGG
rnacentral:rRNA from 1 species